ensembl:ncRNA F28B4.8 ncRNA
UCUUUUUUCUUCGCUUCCUUCUUCAAGCCGUCGUUUUUUUUGUUGCGUCUGCGCAUUGUCUAGCUUGAGCCUUCCCAAAGCCCACUCGACAAACCACUUUUGCCGCGUUCCUUUCGAUCCGAUGACAUAAGAAAUAAGCACAC